GACGAACGCUGGCGGCGUGCUUAACACAUGCAAGUCGAACGGAAAGGCCCUGCUUGCAGGGUACUCGAGUGGCGAACGGUUGAGUAACACGUGGGUGAUCUGCCUUGCACUUCGGGAUAAGCCUGGGUAACUGGGUCUAAUACCGGAUCGGAGCUAUUUUUAGUGUGAUGGUUGGAAAGUUUUAUCGGUGUAGGAUGAGCUCGCGGCCUCUCCGCUUGUUGGUGGGGUAAUGGCUUACCGAGGCGGCGGCGGGUAGCCGGCCUGGGAGGGUGGACGGGCACAUUGAGACUGGGAUACAGCCCAGACUCCGACGGGAGGCAGAAGUGGGGAAGAGUGCAAAAUGAGCGCAAGCCUAAUGCAGCGACGCCGCGGGGGGGAUGAAGGCCUACGGGUUGGAGACUCAUUGCGCUAGGGACGAAGCUUUUUGUGACGGUACCUAGAUAAGAAGCACCGGCUAACUACGUG
rnacentral:rRNA from 1 species